rnacentral:rRNA from 1 species
UACGUAGGGAGCAAGCGCUGUCCGGAAUCAUUGGGCGUAAAGCGCGCGUAGGUGGCCCAGUAAGUCCGUUCUGAAAGUCACAGGCUCAACCUGUGAAAGCGGAUGGAUACUGCUGGGCUAGAGUCCGGAAGAGGCGAGUGGAAUUCCUGGUGUAGCGGUGGAAUGCGCAGAUAUCAGGAGGAACACCAACGGCGAAGGCAGCUCGCUGGGACGGUACUGACACUAAGGCGCGAAAGCGUGGGGAGCGAACAGG